CGGUGAAUACGUUCCCGGGCCUUGUACACACCGCCCGUCACGCCAUGGGAGUUGGUGCCGCCUGAAAAGACCUAAAGUCUUGACGGCAGUACCGAUGACUGGGGUG
rnacentral:rRNA from 1 species